rnacentral:rRNA from 1 species
CGGGCUUGAAAUCAGCAUGGCGGGGGCCAGAGACGGCCUCUUCCUUCGGGCAUGCUGGUAGGUGCUGCAUGGUUGUCGUCAGCUCGUGCCGUGAGGUGUCGGCUUAAGUGCCAUAACGAGCGCAACCCCUUCCGCCGGUUGCCAUCGGGUGAUGCCGGGCACUCCGGCGGCACUGCCGCCGCAAGGCGCGAGGAAGGCGGGGAUGACGUCAAAUCAGCACGGCCCUUACGUCCGGGGCCACACACGUGUUACAAUGGGGGGCACAGAGCGCUGGGCGCAGGCGACUGCGGUCGAAUCGUGAAAUCCCCUCCCAGUUCGGAUUGGAGUCUGCAACCCGACUCCAUGAAGCUGGAUUCGCUAGUAAUCGCGCAUCAGCCAUGGCGCGGUGAAUACGUUCCCGGGCC